CGGACGGGUGAGUAACACGUGGAUAACCUACCUAUAAGACUGGGAUAACUUCGGGAAACCGGAGCUAAUACCGGAUAAUAUAUUGAACCGCAUGGUUCAAUAGUGAAAGACGGUUUUGCUGUCACUUAUAGAUGGAUCCGCGCCGCAUUAGCUAGUUGGUAAGGUAACGGCUUACCAAGACAACGAUGCGUAGCCGACCUGAGAGGGUGAUCGGCCACACUGGAACUGAGACACGGUCCAGACUCCUACGGGAGGCAGCAGCA
rnacentral:rRNA from 1 species